UCUGCUUGCAUAUGUUCACUUUGGAUUUUCUGAACCAAGUGACAAACAGUCUUGAAAAGGAUAGCAUUUACCAUCUAGCCGAGAAGAGAAUUCCUUCAGUCCAUGGGUACACAUCAGGAUUAAAGCUUGAAUAAUUUAUAUUUGAUGUAUUCAACUAUUCUCCUUCAACAGGUCUUUUUGAGGUUUUGCGUGAGGAGGAAUUUGCGCCAGUGAAGAAUGCUAAUGGUGCAACUUAUGACACUCCUGACAGUGCCAGAUUAAUGCUGCUUCGGCUACAUAGCCGCUGGGUGGUUGCUACAGGUGGCUUCUUGAC